GCGGUGCGGGGGAGCGCGGGGAGCGCGAAGGCAGGCGGCGCACGGCUGGCGGAGUCUCGCGGCGAGCGGGAGGGGGUCGCAGGGACGGGAUGGUGGCCUGACAGAGAGCGGCCGUCUCGGUAAUGGCCGGACACUGCUAUGCUAAAAGCCCCUGAACACUCUCUCCACCCCUCCCUUGAAGAGUUUGCAAUCUGUAGAAGAAACAAGGCAGGGACACGUACUUUUCCACUAAAAGAGAAUGACGAUUUUUUUCUUUUUUAAACCACACUAACAGUUUAAAAAAGAAAGAAAGAAAGAAAGAAAGAAAGAAAGAAAAAAAAACCUCAAACGACGAAAGUUGAAACUCACUGGCCGGUCUAGAAAGGGAAGGAUGCUAUCAAGAGGAAGAAGGGACAUGAUCAAUGAAAGUCUCUGAUGAGACAACAGGGAAUUGGUUCAAGAGUACAGAGGAGGCAUCAGCCUUUCAGAGUUGUGCUUCUGAUUCUUGCCGUGGCUGUCUUUGUUGCCAUCACCAUAGCAGUUCACAAUGGGGUCGUAAAGCAGUGGAGACAACUCGCAACAUCAACAACGCAUUUGGCCCAGAAACUGCUAAGGAAUGAAUGUACAGUGCAGUGGUGGUUUAAGAAGUUUUUCAAGGAGAGGAGAGCCCUGAAGAAGAGGAACGUAGUGGCGGACCAUCAGAAGUUGACAA